UACGUAGGGGGCAAGCGUUGUCCGGAUUUAUUGGGCGUAAAGAGCGUGUAGGCGGCCAGGUAGGUCUGCUGUGAAAACUCGAGGCUUAACCUCGAGCUGUCGGCGGAAACCAUCUGGCUAGAGUCCGGAAGAGGAGAAUGGAAUUCCCGGUGUAGCGGUGAAAUGCGCAGAUAUCGGGAAGAACACCCGUGGCGAAGGCGGUUC
rnacentral:rRNA from 1 species